GACUCGGUAGCUCAGUCCGGAGGCGAAAAGCCGGAUAAUAGAGCACUCGACUUUUAAUCGAGUGGUCGCGGGUUCGAACCCCGCCCGAGUCA
rnacentral:tRNA from 1 species